CUUGCCAGAGUGGAAAUAAUUCAUUUCAAGGUUCCUUCACACAGGGAAGUCUGAAGACAAAUCCGCAGCAGGUCUCAAGCACUGCCAGUGCUCCCCACUUCUACAUUUCACUGGUGAAGAGACAAAGCAGCGCUGUUUCCUGCAACUGCAUCUCUGUCCCUUUGCCUCUCCUUGGACUUGCCAACUGUGAAAAAUGGGAAUGCAGCUCCAUCCAUCCCCAGUGAGCCUGUGGGACUCAGAUUGUUAUAAACACAAUCAUAGAAUACCAGGGAUUGCAAAGACCAUCUAGUCCAACCUUUCUUGGUAAAAGCAGUGUCUGCAAUGGGCUAGUACGCUGUGCAGCUGAACCUUAGCAUCCAAAACUGGAGAAUCCACCAUCUCUCUGGGGAGGUUAUUCCAAUGGCUGCUGUCCUCCUUAUAAAAAAACUUCUUGUGCCCAACCAGAAUCUUCCCAGGAGUAACUUGGUGCCCAUCAUUUCUUGAGAUGACCCUCCCUUGAGACAGCACUGCUGAUAGGUACGCUCUGAGGUGAUCUGCUCUGAGACUAGGACUCAGCUGGCCUGCGGGAUUCUGGAAACGAUAUCGUGGGUCGGACUCAGUAAGAAGUCAAAGGUAUUUUGUUUUGCUCUCAUGCUUUAUUCUUAAGUACAUUCAAGAUCGUGAGACACUUUGACAUUGUGAUGGUACUGGAGUGCACUCAGCAUUGUACUGCUCGAGCACUCCACAAACUCAAAUGUGGCCAUCCACAGCUUACCCUCUGCUGGGGUUCUCCUGUUAACCUCAUUUCACUGACAGGAAACUGAGGGACAAAGGUUCAGAGCAAGAGCACCAAAGGUACUUGAGUAAAGAGUAGCUUUCAUCAUGGGUGGCUGGGGAAUGCAAAAGGCAAAGUUACAGCCACACAUGCUGCGCAUGUGAAGACAGGGAGAAACGCUGAGAGAGACGGACCCCAGCAGCCAAGCUGCCCAGCUGGCUCCUGUGGCUGUGGUAGCAGGAUGGGGGAUUUACUGACCAGUGCUUUCCCUCUGCACUCAGGUAGCUAUAUGGUCUCUGGGUACCAGGGGUUUUCUUUCUGGAUGAUGUUGUCACUGGAAACUGACAAAAGAAGGUAAGGCAGUGGUGUGCUUUCUGGAAGACCACAAAAAAGAUUCUUUUGAUGAAAACCUCAGUGACCACUCUCCGUAUCUUGACACAUCACUUAAAGUUAUGGUGGUACUUUGUGGAUUUGGCUGCAGAGGACUUGCCCAAAACUGCACAAAUCAUCAGCAAUGAAAGAGGCAUCUGAAACCCAGGCAUUCCAAACAUUAGAUUUGUGCCCUCAAUAUCGAAAUAGCUCUCUUCCAUCUGCUUGGACUCACGUGUAGCUAAAACAGGCUUUCUAAAUAAUGUCACAUUUGAUCAUCCUGGUCUAGACCUUAAGUCUAGAUCUACCAAGAAUGACCUGUGCCACCUCACCAUCCUAACGAAGGGAGAAUUCAUCUAUGAAAUGCAAGACAGCACAGAAAGGGGCAGGGCAGAACCUUAGAAUAAAAGAACAAGAAAUUCAAAUUAGGCUGAAGAAGGGAAAAAUUUCCAACAGAGAAAUUAACAAGCUUGCUUAAGAUAACAGGGAGAUAUGGUAAACCAGUUCUGCAAGGACUGAGAUAAUUUCAAUUUUCAUCACUUAAAAUUCCAGCCUACAGUCUCUGAUGAACUUCUUGUCAACACAGUAUGGGCUUGACAGCGCUGCUCUUGUUUAGGGUUGUUUUCUCUUCUUGGCUCAUAUAAAGUCCAGAGUAAUUUUCAGUCAUCUGUUCAGGACAGGGUUCAAAGCUCUGAUAUUAUUGUUAUUCUUUAUCUUCUUUCAGUCCACAUUGGUAUACAUUUCCUAUUUUCUCUCAGAAACAAAGCUGAAGAUCUACUUCAUUCAUUGCCUUUCAGAGAAAGAAUCAAAAUUGUCUCAUCACUAAGGUUAUACAGAAAAAGUCACACAAGGGCAUGCAAGUAAUGGCCUUGUGGCCCCCUCAGCAGUGCUGGAUCCACUAUUCAUGGAAGAUCAUGAAAAUGAUCCAGAGAUUAACUAGAGUAGUAUGCUUGUGAAGGUCUCCAGAUUGCACCCAUGUUAAAAACAGGAGUGGAGUUUGCCACAGCAAUUAACAUUCAGUAACAUUUCUGAACUGGUAGCAACGUUUGAACUUUCAGUGGUUAGCAGAUAGGCUAACAAAUAAACUGUGCUCCCUGCAUCACAAAUUUACAAUGUUUUACUCAAUAUCUGAGGUCAAGACCUUAAAAAGGCUGUGCUCUAUGAAAAGGCACAUACCUAGGAGGGAUCUGCAGUAAUCUCAUCAUUUCACUACUCUGAACUGCACAAGGUAGUCUCAGUUUCAUGAAAACCUUGUCUGGAAAUCAAAUAAAUUGCAAAGGUGUAGACAACUAACAAGAUAAAUAUUACACUAACAUUUUAUUGUGAGUUGCUAAUACACACAACACAGUGAGACUCUAAAACAGUGAUCCCAGUAUCUUUAUCAUAUAUUAACACAUUUCCCAUAAUACUCCUGCUCACUCAACCUGCCUUUUUACUGAAGUAACUUCAAUUAAAAACAAAUCCCUUUAAAACACUACUCCAGGAGGUACAGACUGAUAUAUUUGUCAUGAUAUUAAGAAGACCUGGAUACAAAAUACAGGGCUUCAUUUUCACAUGAGUAUGAAAGCAAACCAGAAUCAACACUGAACACUUGUUUGCUCAAUGACUGACCUAUGGCAGGAGGACCUGGGAACGUCCUUAACCUUCAGCAAGUUAAUAAACCAUCUGCUUAAUAAAGGUCACCCUCAGUGAACUGAAAAUCUACAGAAUUCAUUCUGAAAAGGUCCCACAAACAAAAAUAUUUUUUUUUAUGCUUAGCCUCUUGUCUGUAUAAGGUGCUUAAAAAUACAUGAACUUUAGAGAAAACACCUUCAUUUACUGAUAAGUUGCUGAAAUGAUGCAGUCUUGGUGUGUGCAAUUAGUUGAUAUUUUUUUUCCUUGAACCUCACGUCUGAAUUUAUCUAGUUUACUUUUCAAAGUAGUAACCUUAUUUAUUGCUGAAGAUGAAAACACUGAAAAUGCUGUGAAAUUAAAGACAAAUAUAUGCUAUGCUACUUUGUGAAAAAAACCCCCACCUUCCUUGGGAGUUACUGAUUAUUAGUCAUUGUUAAUUUUUAGAGUUCAACUCAACAGGAACUGGCUGUCAGUUUUGUACUUUUAACUGUUUGAGAACUUCACAGGGUCACCAAAAAACAGUUGGACUAAGUCUCUUUUUACUUCUGCUGGUAGACGUGAAUGCCAACAUGGAAGAGUAAUUUCUGACACUGCACUUUGUACUCUUUUCUGUCAAAGUCUCUCAUUAUUUUGACACAGAUAAUGGCUAAGUUUGUACUGUCUCAAGGCAACUACAACAAGGAGCCAUCUAGUAGUGUCAGGCCAUCCCCCAUAAACAUACCAAAACACACAGACAGUGCUGGUAGAAUGGUGACAGUCUGUUGAUAAAAAAUUUCGAAACUCCACAUCUAGCUUUAACUUGCAGACCUAUAAAUGCAAUUCCUAACAUGAACGUGACCAUAAACAAGUAUCACUGCCUUGGUGCAAGAGGUAAGAAAGGUCAAGACAAUUCUGCUCUCUAGGGAUCCAGAUGGAUGAAGGAGGGGGUUUCAAGAGUGCAGCCAGAGACAGCACAGAAGGUGAGGCUGUGCCCACACUCCAGGCCAGGAAUACAGGGUACAGGCAGACAAAGGCUGCUUUACCUGCUCGAGCAGCACAUGCCAAACAGCAUCCCUACAUUCUGUGAACUUCUAAGACUAUUAGCUCAGAUACAACUAUAUGCCACUACUUUGGUGAAACUCAUGAUACAAAGUGUCUUCAAAGACAAAUUAUGCCAAAUUUUUCAUCCUUGAUAAGUGCAGAAGUGUACCUGAACACUGGUGUUUAGCCUCCUCUCCCCUACUCUACCACACUUCUAAAGAUGCCACACUUAAACUUAUCCACUUCAUUUACUUCUGAAGCAAACUUUUUUUUUUUUCAUUUAUUUAAGCAGCGUAAAAGAGAAGGAAUUUUUAGCAAAGAAUACCUUGGUAAAGAAAUUGUCCUUAACUAAAACUAAGUAUCAUCACACAAAUAUUAAGGAAAAUAUAGAACACCACAAUCUAGUUCUACGAAGUGUGUUUCUUGCUAGGUUCACAGUAGGCGGGGUGGCAGACAUCUUCAUUUUCUACAGUAAUCAGAAACUAUGCCCCAAACAAGUGUGUUAAAGUAGUACUUCUUUCUUAUUUGCUCUGAUCAAUUUAACAAUUAUACUUCCAAAGUACAAUAUCCCCAAAAUCAUGUGGUUAUCAUUGCAAAAUUCCUAGAACUGAUGCAUCUACAAAUCCAUAUGCAAAAUGCGUAUUGCAUGUUUAUGAUAUAUAAUGCAUACUUCCUUCAUUUACAGUUACAAACAACAUAUGCAAGAAGAAACUGCUAAGCAAAAUAUAUCCUGAUAAUCAGACGACCAUGAAAGUUUAAGCCUGUUCAACAACUGACCUCUUUCGUAACACUGCUAGAAGCAUUAAUGAAAAUUUAAGUGUGAAAAAUGUACAUUCUUUAUUCUGUGGCUUAGAUACAGAAUAAAAUUUAACUUUUCAGAAAAUAAAACUAUAGCUACAACUUUGAGAGCUGUCAGUUUUCUUUUGAGGAUAAAGUACAUGCACUUUUUCCAGUUACUUUAUUGCACAUAAUGUACAGUCAUAAAUGGUGUUUAUUUACAUGUGUUUUGGCAAUGUCCAUGUUUGCUUUUCCCCUCAGAAUACAUUAUUUUGCACAAACAAAACCUUAAAUGUUUCAUACAAACUGCUAUAAUACAAGUCAAAGCAUAUAUACGUAUAUAUGUCGCUUUAUUGUUGCUGUAUUUUCAAUUAAUUCUACUAAGAGUUUCAGAUCUCAGUUAAUCUUUGCCUUGGGAGGCAGACUCCUCCCAGUUAGUCUGUUGUCAAAGACGGACACCCGAAUUGCAGGCACCAAGAAAUUAGGACUGCAGCCUGCUGUGCCUAAGCCCCAGCCCCUAUGCACCACCUGCAAUUAGUGCGCAGGCACAGAGAAGGAAGAGCACUGUACUUUCGUUAACCAGUUUGAUUCAACAUUGAUUACCACGUGUUAAUGUUAUGGGUCAUGUGUUAUUUGGACAGUAUUCCAUUAACGGUGUUUUAGAAAAAUGUAUCAAACAUAUUAAAACAAAACAGAAAUUCCCGUGACAGUUAUGUACUUCCAGCCCUAGGAAUGUGUUACUCAGAUUCCAUUCUGCAUAAUGUGCUAUUUCUGAUAACUGGUAUUUUUAUCCAGACACAAGGAACUCAAGUUUCAUAUACUCAUAAGUAUGUUUCCCCCAAGUUAAUUUCUUAAUGGAUGGUAACACACUUCAAUGUUUCCCUGCAUUUUCAGGGCAGAAAACCUUUUAGUGGUCCCCCUCAUGGAGUACAACCUGGCAAUAAACAUUUUGCUACAUGUAGUAACAGUUUUAAAAGGUAUGUUCAAAUAAAAGAUCAGUAUUGUCAGUAUACUGAACAUAUGCUCGUUAAAAAUAUCUUAAGGAUGUUCUUGAAAGGCACUUUAUAACAGGCACAAAAAUACUCUUGAAGAAACCAAAUUUGUAAUUUGGUACAACACUUAAGAUGUGAACAGCAUUGCUCAGAUUCUGCUUUGAAAGUCUAGAUUAUAUUUUUGUUUAUAUUCUCACCUACAAAAAAAAAAAAUAAAUUUACCCUAAGAUAAAACCCACUUUAUUGGAUCAAAGAGCAAUUACCUAAUUGUCUUGAAUGUAUGAUCUUUCAAACAUUAAGACAAUUUAAUCUCAGAAUGAUAAGAAAAAGAAGCUAACUUCAUUGAUUUAGCAAUAUUGAAGUCAUCCUCAAAUUCGGUGAUAAAAACAGUUCGUACCUUUCCUGUAAGCAGGCAAAGUAUAAAAUAGUUAAAUUUUCAGACAGGCACUCAGGUAAAUUGAGAAAUACCUUUGGUGGGCAACAAUAAUGAAUAUAUUAUUUUUAUUUUAGUUUUCCUACUUUUUUCUGUCCUUUAGCUUUAAAAUACUACAAAAUUUACAGCAACUUCGACUACUGCAUAUACUGAAGAAUGAGAUGAAAAUGCACUGUGGACAAAGUAUAACAGUAGUUAACAUCUAUUGAUAAAAACUCAAAAUAAUAAAAAUAUUACAGAAAAGCAGUAGUUCUGGAAAUAGAAGUAUUCUUCAAUAGAAAACAUUAAAGUUUUUUUCCAUCUGAAUAGUUUCACCUAUACUGGACAGAGUACUUCAUCAAACUACAUAUGCACCUCUGAUAAAAUUCUUUAAGAGUAUAAAUUAUUUGCUCUGUAAUGACACUUGUUCCAUUAUCCAGUCAAAAGGUCCUGAUACUAUCUGUUAUAAAUAUCUAAUAUUUUUAUCAUCUGCCUGUGGCUGAGUUUUAGGACAGCAAUAUGAUCUGUUUAAUUAAAAAAGAAAAUUCUGCACAAGUGAAACUAUUCAGAAUGAAUUAGUACUUCAUCUCUACCUAAAAUUUUUCUAAAACAAAGAACUACGUGCCAUUAGAAAACUAACAAAUGUCAUCAAAACUAGACUAUUUUUCUCCAUAAAAUAAAGAUGCAUAAAAUUUUAAUUACUAGCAAUACUGUGAGAACUCUAUUUAAAAAGGUUUAUAUUGCAUGUAUUUCAAGAUAAAUAGUUUGAAAUGUCAUAAAUUAAAGGAGGAAUUUGAACAGAUGCAGUUUCCUCAUCUGAAUUUUUACUAUCUACAGGAAAAAAAUGGACUUUCAGGAAGAAAACUGUUGACAUCUGAAAAGUUACCUACAUUGAGGAUCUCCCUCAACAUUAGUGGUAAUUACUGCCCACUUGGUUACAAAUGCAGAACUACCUGGGAAAUGUAAAGGAGCCUCACAGCGUAGUUCUAAGAAAGGGGAAGCAUAUCUGUAAAAAUAUUUGCAUAGAUGUACAUUCAAAACAGCAUUUCCACCAUUUCAAUUCCCUGCAUUCAUGUUGCUCCAGUCAUCCACAGGGAUAAAGAUCACAUAAAGGCAGCUCUGGAAUUUGAAAUGGAUGUUGCUUGGCAAUUUAGUGAAACGUGUAUUUUUGUACUUUCUGCAGUCACUAGGAAAAGAUUCAGUUUGACCUUUGGCUUACAGAAGUUGUACUUCCCUGAGCAAGGCAAUACUGAUAGGCUACAGCAGAAGUACCAAAAAUAAAGUUAUUUGAAACAGCGUGGUAUAAAUAAGGCACUUUUGCCAAAGGAAAGCCCCAGGUUUUGUGUAUCAAUGUACAGCAAUUCUAUCCAGAAAUAUUCUGUGCUUAGAAACGUCACAUGAUGCAACAGUGAAUCAGGUGCCAAAACCAACAAAUCACAAAUUACUGUGCGAUUAACUGCAACCUCUGAAUGGUUCAACAAAGAAUCAAACUGGUUUCUGUACACCGUCAUGAUUUACCAAUACACUGGCAUCUUUUGCUCUUUUGCUGUGAGCCAACAAGAAUUAUUUUAGAGAAAGAAAAAGAAAAGUGUGGAAUUAGUAAUGCAGAUGCUGAAAGGCAAGUGGCAAGACUCUACAAGAAGAAUGCCUCAAAAAUGCUACUUUGUUCCCAUUUCUACUGGCACCUAUUCCCCAAGGUAAAAGGCCAGAAUGACCAAAGCCAACUUAAUAGUAGUGUGCAGAAUGUCAGCUGACAAACAACAUAAAAACAAGUCACGUUGUGUUAUCUGUGGUCACGUUCUUCAGGGUUAGUCCAGUAACUCAACUUUACAUUCUUCCGUCUUUAUUUGUUUAUUUUAAUUAAACAUGUAAUGGUUAAUAAACAGACAUAAUCCAGAGUUAGUAGGUUGGUAUUAUAACAUUUAUUAAAAUAAUGCUAUGGGUUAAUAGAAACAGCAAAGAACCAAAGAAUUAAAAUGCAAGCUAUGUAAAAACCCAACUAAAACCCAAAUAUGUCUAAUGUAUUCAUCCAGUAGCUAACUAAAAGCCCAAGAAAGACAACACUCCCAAUAUAAUAAAGUACUGCAAAACAAUUGGCAAUUUUUCAGUUAUCAAAAUCGUGGGUUUUGCAUUUUGUAUCCUUUUUUCUCAAUCAGGAAAAAAAUUCUUUUGAAUGUUAUAUAACAUACAUAUAAAACAAGAUAGAAAAAUACAUUAUAAACUUGUAACAAUGGCUGUAAAUACAUUAUCUUACAUGUUUCUCAUAGGCAAUAGGUUGGUUAUGGUACAUACAUAGCAUGAAACUACUAAGAUAAUAAAGAAUAGACAAAUACAUGUCAUCUGUACGGUUACAUACAAGCGACACUCCCAUCUACCCACUCUAAAAAAAUUACAUAAUACUGUCAGAAAGAAGUCUUAAAACUACUUAUUUUAAUAAAGAAAAAGUCAUUAAAGAAUGAUAAUACUGAGAACCAAGGCAUUCAGAGAUUUCAAAAGUCAUGCUUUUUUUAAGCUGAUCCAAAAUUUUGUCAACUAAGUUUUCAGAAGUUUGUUCAGAGCAAACAUUACUUUCACAUGUCACACAUCUAUUCCAUACACUUCCCCUCCCCCCCAGUAAAAGACCUUUGAUAAAUGUUUAAAAUGUCCAGGUUUUAUCAUAGUUGAGAUGAAACUGGAUCAAAUACUGGUAUUGUUUUAGCAAAUCUCUCUUCAAAUGUUCGAGUGUCGCAAGUUUAUUCAACCAACCAACCAAAAUAAAAUCAAAAUGGCACAGCAUAUAUUGUAAAUAAAAUCAACACAACUUUAUGUGUAACAGGAAGACAAAGCUGGUGGCACAAUAAACAAAAAUCUAGCUGAAUACGAAAGGAUGAAUGUCUAUUGCAUAGUAAAUAAACUGAUAAUUAUUUCCAGGUGAGACAAGAUGUUAGAUGAGGUCACCAUGCAGGUGCUUAAAAAUGUAAGCCCUCUUAGCUUACAAUUGACCUUUCAUUUGGAAGCUGUGAAGAUUUGCAGGAGGAGAAUAAGUUGACAAGAGGGGAGUAAAAUUAUCACCUGAUAUUUGCCAAGUUUAGUACUGAGCCCCACAAUGUAACACUUAAUGUUUUUGAGAAUACUGUGCGUUCAGCAGCUUCAGCUCUUGCAAUUGCCCAGCUAUUCAAACCUCAUGUGGAAACAAGGGUUAAAAAUAAGGUAUAGCUGGACUUCAAAUGGCUGAAGUCCCUCUCCUGCUUAUCUUUUCAAGAAAAGCCAAUGGGCCAGAUCUAACAAUAGUCAAAGACGAGCUGAAAAGUAAGUAAUUUCCGUGCUGUUUGCCACUGCAGGAGCUGUUUGUGGAAACUGGGGAUGUGCUCAGUCACUGACUGAAAACUCACUAAGCACUUUCAGUUUCGUUACCUGCAGAACAUCCAUUUUCUGGGUGAUGCCGAAGCCUACUACAGUUGAUGUAAUAUUUAUUUCAACCAGAAUCAAGAAAACUCCUCUCCAUCCCUGAACAAAAAUGACGUAACUUCCAGCUCUACAAACAUUUGUCAGCUAAUAAUCUCCUUUAGCAUGAGACAGUCUGUAUCACAGAACCCUUUGGUUUACGUUGCACAAGUACGGCAGUUGCUAUGAUUUAAAAAGUAGAGUGGCUGAAAUAAUAAUGGGCUGGUUUGAUGAAAACUUAGCAAAUACUUCACUUAAUGAGAUUUUGGCAAAGUCACAUCACACUUGUAUGGCAAAAAUCAGGUAAU